AACGAACGCUGCCGGCAGGCUUAACACAUGCAAGUCGAACGCCCCGCAAGGGGAGUGGCAGACGGGUGAGUAACGCGUGGGAACGUGCCCUUCGCUUCGGAAUAGCUCCGGGAAACUGGGAGUAAUACCGAAUACGCCGUAUUGGGAAAGAUUUAUCGGCGAAGGAUCGGCCCGCGUUAGAUUAGCUAGUUGGCGGUGUAAUGGACCACCAAGGCUACGAUCUAUAGCUGGUCUGAGAGGAUGAUCAGCCACACUGGGACUGAGACACGGCCCAGACUCCUACGGGAGGCAGCAGUGGGGAAUCUUGGACAAUGGGCGCAAGCCUGAUCCAGCCAUGCCGCGUGAGUGAAGAAGGCCUUAGGGUUGUAAAACUCUUUCGCCGGAGAAGAUAAUGACGGUAUCCGGAGAAGAAGCCCCGGCUAACUUCGUGCCAGCCGCCGCAGUAAUAC
rnacentral:rRNA from 1 species